GAGAGAGAGAAAGAAAGAAAGGAAAGGAGGGAGGGAAGAAGGAAGCAAGAAAGAGAGGAGAGAGAGGAAGCAAGCUCUUAAUACUGGUCAUAGCUUUAUUCUGAGUACCAUCUCUAUAAGCCCGACAACCAGCAUCUCACAUUAGACACAUCCCUGCCCCACAGCUUCCAGGAGUAAGCCCAAAGAGGGAUGUUUUCUGCUGGGCCAUAAUAGUUAAGUUUCUAUUGCUGUGACCAAAAGCAACUUGAAGAGAAAAGGGCUUUUUUCAUCUUACACAUCUAGGUAAUAGAUCAUCACAGAGGGAAGUCAAGAUGGGAAUUCAUUGCAGGAACCCAAAGGCAGGAACUGAAGGAGAGAUUGUGGAGGGAGUGGUACUGCUUACUGUAUUGCUGCCAGGCUCUUGAUCACCUGCCUUUACUAUACAGACACUGCCCACAGUGGACCAGACCCUUCUACAUCAAUUAUUAAACAAGCAAAGGCUCCACAGAUAUCCCACGAGUGUCAGACUGACAGCCAAGAUUAGCCAUCACAGGUGUAUCCUGUGUGGCUCCCCAGAGUGAAGUCCUUUGUCAAAAGGAAAAGAGAAGAAAAGACUCUUGAGGUAUCGAGUUCCUCCCUGACAUCAGUUCUCACCACCACAGAGUUAGCAAAGGGACAGAAAACAAAAUCUAAGUGGCCACCUACCCGCCACUCUUCUCAGAAUAGGUACGCUCUAGCCAACUUCUCCUCUAACUGAAAUAAGUGGGAUGGGAUGGUACUAAGGCUCCUAUUUUUAUUGUUACAAGUGCUCAUUCAUACUUUCAACAUUUAUUGAGCACCUACUGUGUACCAGGUCCUGAUGUUAUAGGGCAAUACACUGUGGUCCCCACUCUCAUUAAGAAAGGUGAGUAUUGAGUGAAGCUUCCAGGACAGAUGGAGAAGUGGGGACCGGCAUGGACUCACGUGUGGGAUUUCAUUUACUGCUUUCUAAGUUGAGUAGCAGGUAAAGGAAAAAGGAAAGAAUAGUGUAAGUUGAAUUAGCAGGAAAAGUUCAACUCACAGGGAAUGUUGGCAGAUCUCUUUGGACAGGUAAAAGGCCAAUGAAGGUCGCAUUCUUCUUUUCACGUUAUGCAUUGUACAUCUGAUACCGAAGAUAUUAGAGCUAAUAUCUCUGACGUGCUCAAACCUUGACAUUUUGAGUUAUGAAAUUUUGCAAAUAGGGGCAUCGGCACUUUUGAGUGAAUGAGACACUUUAAAUUUGCUGGCUGUGUAUUACACACCUGUGAUCCCUGCACCCAGGAGCUAAGGCAGCGAGCCUGGGCCACCCAGAAAGUUCAAGGGCAGCCUGAGUUCCAAAGUGAGACAAUCUCAACAACAAGUUCAUCGAUUCUCCUACUGCCUCACUAAAUCCACUGAAGCAGAAUUGGAAUGCAGAACUUGGAUGUUAGUGUAGAAACCUUGUGUUGUGGCUGAUCCACGUUCUCCUAUCUCCCCAUUCCCCCUCCUCCUUAGCUAUUGGGAUUAGGACAUGGAGGUCACUUCCAGAGGAGGGAGCUGAGAUCCCAGCCAGAGAAUGGGUGUGGCUUAGCUUUUGUUUUUGUGAUGAGCUCUGUCUAACAGGAGUACUGAGUAGAGGCCCCAUCCUAACUCCUUUCCCCAGACUUGCUAGCAAAGGACUGUUGUAGGUUAGAGAUCAUCAAGAGGAUGAUGCCCAAGAGGACGAGCAUGGCUCGGAGUCCAAUUGUUAGUUUUCUUGGGCUUUGGACAAGCUUCUGAGACAUCUAAGCCAUCCUUGGUUUUCAAGUACUGUCCUAAUCCUCAGUCCGUGGGGAAGUAAGUGUCCAUAAUAGUUAUGGAAGGAUGGAAUGCAAGCUCAAAGUCAUAGGGCUCUCUUCACUACUAGAUCACCAGAGACUAUUUAAGUGAAUGAAUGACAGACAGAGGUGUGUGUGGCUUACAAUGACCUGUCAGCUUGCUUAAAGUGAAUCUGUGUGACUUUAUAAAGGGUGCCACCAGGGGUUAAAGAGACAGUUCAUUGGUUAAGAGCACUGGCUGCUGUUCCAGAGACCCAGGUUCAAUCCCCAGCAUCUACCUGGUGCUCAUAACUGUCUGUGACUCUAGUUCCAGGCAACUGGACACCCUCAUACAGACAUACAUGCAGGUUAAACAGCAAAACACAUGAAGCAAAAAUAAACUAAAAAAAAAAAAAAGUGUCCCCGGGCUUUGUUUCUUGUGGUCUCAAACCCCUGAGCCUUAAUCCAAGUGGGAGUAAGGGUUUGAAGGGCCUCUUGGGCCUCUGCUGAGUGGGCACAGUCUCCACUGUAGGUGGCUUCCCUUAUCUGGUCAGAAAUGGCGAGACUCCAGGAACAGGAUUUCCUUCAUAACCUCAGGUUGUCAGACAUGAUUAGAUUUAUUAGAAUUGGUGUUCUCAGAGCUGGGCCCAGUAGCAUACAGCGAGAGCUGCUGUGUGCUGGAUUCAUGGAAUGGUGACGCAAGUCCCCGAGCAUCCAGGUAGAGAUUAGACGCCGGGGUGCCUGCAGGCUUGCUUCCUUCUUUACCAAAGGCAGAUAAAGAACGUGUGUGGGUUCUGAUAGUUGUUAAAUUCAACAAACAGAUUGGCCUAAAGGUGCCUCUGUCCUUGUCACAUGUGACAAAUGAUAAUGAACUGAUACAUGAAAAUGAUAAUGAACACAAGUAUGCAAAUGAACUGAAAUCUAGAUGGGUGUGUAUUUUGCUAACAAGUACUUCUGUCUUAGAGAAUCCUAUCAGUCAAUCACAGGGCAGGAAAUGAUCACACAUAUUUAAAUCAAACAGCCCUAGUUAAAUGUUGUCCUUUAUAAGAGCUACCUUGGUCAUAGUGUCUGUUCACAGCAGCAAAAUCCUAACCGAGCAGUCAGGCAAGCUUUUCUAGGCCCUGACCUGUGUUUUCACCCUUAGUGUACCUGCCACUGUCUGAUUGUGCUAAAUUUAAGUUAUCUGGAGCAUUGCUUUUUUUGUGUGUGUGCACAUUUUAUGUUCAUUUUAGAAGCAUCGCUUUUAACACAUGGAGCAAAUGCCUGUUGCUAGACAGAGCUUGCUCACUCACAAGCAGCGACUUACCUCUGAAAUUAUUUUCAUUUUUUCGUCGUUGGUAUUCAUCUUGUCCGUGAUGGCUUCCUGACUGAGAACGAAUGAGCAAGGAAGUGGUCAGGCAUAGUGAAGUGAACAACGUCUCUCUUGCUCUCGAUGGACAGAGCCUGGGAAGCUCACACCCGGGCCUGCUGAGCUGUUCCUCACAAGUAUUGCAGACCACAGGAGCCAGCAGCGGAGGAGAAGAAAGAAGGAGGAGGAGAAGGAGGAGGAGAAGAAGUGCAGCCUGCUGGCCAGAUGAACCUCAGCCAGAAUGCAAAGGACCAUUUCUGUCUUCUCCCUUUCUGACUGCUACGUCUUAAUUUUUAAUCCUCUCCUUCCAAUGAGCAGAGAGCUGAGACCACAGAGAGUGCCAAAUCCCCUCACCUCCUGCCACCCCUACUGGGUCCCAGCACUCCCUGUCACCACUUCCCCUUGGUACAGUGAAGUGGUCUCUCUGGUUUCUUCUCUGCUUUCACCCAGCCCAUCUCGAGACGGUCAAUGAGUCCCAUCACUGUCCCCCUAAGACCAUGAUCUUGUCACCUCCCACCCUCACGCUGGUGCCUGAACAGUCAUUUCUUUUCUCUAUAUAGGUUCAUUCCUAUCAGAGUUAAAAAUAGCCCAUCUUUUCCUUACCCACAAAAAUGCCUUCUGUCCACUUCACUUCUCUCUAUCGCUCUUGCUCUAUUUUUCAGCCUUUCUAGGGACGCUCUGGAACACCACCGACUCCUUUGCCCAAUCUUUAUUAUUAUGGGUGUGUUUGAGGUGUCUAAUGCUCCCUAUGCCUGUUCCUGCUGGGGUCUGUUAAGGACUCCAGCAUUGUUGUGUCUGAGGAUCAGUGUUCUUGCUCAUGUACUGAACCUCAUCAGACAUGUCAUCAAAACACCUCCUUCACUUGCCUUCUGCAACAGGUUUCUUCUUGCUCUUCUUGCCACCCCUGGACUCCACUUCUCAGCACCUCAUCUCCUCAGUGUUCCGAGGCUCUGCCCUGCCUGUCCUCACUCCCCUGGCUAACUCUUGGCCUGACAUACCGUAUGUACACUGAUCUUUCCCACAUUAACACCUGAGUUUAGACACUUCUUCAGAAUCCAUUAUGUGAUUGUGUCAUGGAUACCUUCCCUUGGCCCUAAAUGAAGCUCUUGGCCUUUGCCUAUUAAUUAGCCUGUGCUGCAAACUUCCUGUUAUAGGAAACAAAUCCCUUCUACCCAGGACAGAAUCUUUGCAGCUGUCUUUAACUGUUAUCAUUCUUCUAUGAUAUAGUGUACCUAUGAAAUUUUUAUACGUCGACUUGACUAGAUCAAGGAAUACUUAAAAAUGUGAGAAAUUACUA